rnacentral:rRNA from 1 species
CCUACGGGUGGCAGCAGUGGGGAAUAUUGCACAAUGGGGGAAACCCUGAUGCAGCAACGCCGCGUGAGGGAAGACGGUUUUCGGAUUGUAAACUUCUGUUCUUAGUGAAGAAUAAUGACGGUAGCUAAGGAGCAAGCCACGGCUAACUACGUGCCAGCAGCCGCGGUAUACGUAGGUGGCAAGCGUUGUCCGGAAUUACUGGGUGUAAAGGGAGCGCAGGCGGGUAGGCAAGUCAGCGGUGAAAACUACGGGCUGAACUUGUAGACUGCAGUUGAAACUGGUUUUCUUGAGUGCAGUAGAGGAUGGGGGAAGUCCGAGGGUAGCGGUGAAAUGCGUAGAUAUUCGGAGGAACACCGGUGGCGAAGGCGGCCAACUGGGCUGUAACUGACGCUGAGGCUCGAAAGUGUGGGGAGCAAACAGGAUUAGAUACCCGUGUAGUC